rnacentral:tRNA from 1 species
AUCCAUAUAAUUUAGAAUAGAAUAUUACAUUGAAGCUGUGGAAGGGGUCUUACACCUAUGGGUA